rnacentral:rRNA from 3 species
GAUUUCUGACCUGAAACAUUUUGCCGGCCACGGUUUCGUGUGUUAGUGCUUUAUGUUCUGGUCAUCCUUCCAAUCGCUAUUCACCUUUCUUCAUUGAUGGGUGCAUGGUAUUGGAUCUUUUACUUUGAAAAAAUUAGAGUGUUUCAAGCAGGCUUUAUGCUAUGAAUACAUUAGCAUGGAAUAAUAAUUUAGGACUUCGGUUCUAUUUUGUUGGUUUCUAGGACUGAAGUAAUGAUUGAUAGGGACAGUUGGGGGUGCUAGUAUUCAGCGGCCAGAGGUGAAAUUCUUGGAUUCGCUGAAGACUAACUUAUGCGAAAGCAUU